AACUAGAUAUAGCCCAUAACUUAAACCCCACAAAAUUACCACAAAAUCUAAGACAAAACAUUUACAAAUAGUUAGAGUAUAGGCGAUAGAAAUUUCAUCCGGCGCUAUAGAGAAAGUACCGCAAGGGAAAAUGAAAGAGAAUUUUAAGUAAUAAAUAGCAAAGCUUAACUCUUGUACCUUUUGCAUAAUGAUUCAGCUAGUACAAUACUAGCAAAAAGAAUUAAAGUUAGUUUUCCCCGAAACCAGACGAGCUACCUGCCAGCAGCCAACAGGGCAAACUCAUCUAUGUAGCAAAAUAGUGAAACGACUGUCAGGUAGUGGCGACAAACCUAUCGAGCCUGGUGAUAGCUGGUUAUCCAGAGCUGAAUUUUAGUUCUAAUUUAAAUCUACCCAAAAGUUAACAAGCUUUAAUGUAAAUUUAAAUAAUAGUCUAAAAAGGUACAGCUUUUUAGACAAGGAGUACAACCCCUAUUAGUGAGUAAAUCAUAAUUUAACCACAAUAGUUGGCCUAAAAGCAGCCAUCAACUAAGAAAGCGUUCAAGCUCAACAGCACAUACACUUAAUACCACCCUAGAGAUAAAUCUCCUAAUACUAAAUACUGGAUCACUCUAUUAAUAAAUAGAAGAGAUACUGCUGAUAUGAGUAACAAGAAACACUUCUCCCUGCACAUGUGUAUAUCAGAACGAAUAAAUCGCUGAUAGUUACCAAAAUUAAACACCCACUACUACCAAGUUAUUAAUAUUAAUUGUUAAUCCAACACAGGAGUGCAAAUCAAGGAAAGAUUAAAAGAAGUAAAAGGAACUCGGCAAACACAAACCUCGCCUGUUUACCAAAAACAUCACCUCUAGCAUAAAAAGUAUUAGAGGCACUGCCUGCCCAGUGACUUCAGUUUCAACGGCCGCGGUAUCCUGACCGUGCAAAGGUAGCAUAAUCACUUGUUCCCUAAAUAGGGACUCGUAUGAAUGGCUUCACGAGGGUUUUACUGUCUCCUACUUCAAAUCAGUGAAAUUGACAUUCCCGUGAAGAGGCGGGGAUGAAGAAAUAAGACGAGAAGACCCUUAUGGAGCUUUAAUUAACUAACUCACAUAAAUCUCAACAAACCUUCUCCCCAGGGAAUAAAACUGAUUAAAUUGAGUUAGAAAUUUAGGUUGGGGUGACCUCGGAGUAAAACCUAACCCCCGAGAAAAAUCUAUCAAGACUGACAAGUCAAAAUUACACCAUUAUAUACUGAUCCGUCAAAGACGAUCAACGAAACAAGUUACCCUAGGGAUAACAGCGCAAUCCUAUUUAAGAGUCCAUAUCGACAAUUAGGGUUUACGACCUCGAUGUUGGAUCAGGACAUCCCAAUGGUGCAGCAGCUAUUAAUGCGUUCGUUUGUUCAACGAUUAAAGUCCUACGUGAUCUGAGUUCAGACCGGAGUAAUCCAGGUCGGUUUCUAUCUAUUUACAAGUCCCUCCCAGUACGAAAGGACAAGAGAGACAAGGCCAACUUAAAAUAAGCGCCUUAUUAAAAUAGAUGAAUUAAUCUUAAUCAUAUUACACCCAUAAUCUGUUUUAGAAAAAAAUUAAGUUAAAGUGGCAGAGCUCGGUAAUUGCA
rnacentral:rRNA from 1 species